rnacentral:rRNA from 1 species
AUACGGGAGGCAGCAGUGAGGAAUAUUGGACAAUGGGCGCAAGCCUGAUCCAGCCAUGCCGCGUGCAGGAAGACGGUCCUAUGGAUUGUAAACUGCUUUUAUACGGGAAGAAACACUCCUACGUGUAGGAAUUUGACGGUACCGUAAGAAUAAGGAUCGGCUAACUCCGUGCCAGCAGCCGCGGUAAUACGGAGGAUCCAAGCGUUAUCCGGAAUCAUUGGGUUUAAAGGGUCCGUAGGCGGUUUAAUAAGUCAGUGGUGAAAGCCCAUCGCUUAACGAUGGAACGGCCAUUGAUACUGUUAGACUUGAAUUAUUGGGAAGUAACUAGAAUAUGUAGUGUAGCGGUGAAAUGCUUAGAUAUUACAUGGAAUACCAAUUGCGAAGGCAGGUUACUACCAAUGGAUUGACGCUGAUGGACGAAAGCGUGGGGAGCGAACAGGAUUAGAUACCCUGGU